rnacentral:rRNA from 1 species
UACGGAGGGUGCAAGCGUUAUCCGGAUUCACUGGGUUUAAAGGGUGCGUAGGCGGAUAGGUAAGUCCGUGGUGAAAUCCUGCAGCUUAACUGCAGAACUGCCAUGGAUACUAUUUAUCUUGAAUGUCGUGGAGGUUAGCGGAAUAUGUCAUGUAGCGGUGAAAUGCUUAGAUAUGACAUAGAACACCCAUUGCGAAGGCAGCUAACUACGCGAUAAUUGACGCUGAUGCACGAAAGCGUGGGGAGCGAACAGG